CGGUAAUGUCUCCUCACCGCUAUCAAUGGAGGCACUCGGUCACACUGUGGGUUCAGCAAGACAGGCCUGAACCUUAGACGCAUCCGUCGUCAAUAGUGUGGUGUGAGGGCGGGUUAGAUGCCCG
rfam:[Bacillus] aminovorans strain DSM 1314 DSM1314_contig_7, whole genome shotgun sequence.